GAUCAUACAGAUGUCAGCUGCCUGAGAGCUAGGAUAACAGGCGUGAGCCACCAGUGCCUGGCUUUUAAUGCAAAUAGGGAUUAUUACAAUUUGUGGUUUAUGUAGUUUGGUUUUGUUUUUUAUUCCUAGUCAGUCAAGAAAGAUCCUCAAGAAAGUAAUCCCUAACCUUUUACUCAGGAUUGUACAGUAUGUUUGAGUUCUAAAACAAUGACCUAAGCUUAUGUUAUAAAAUGCUAGUGAUUUAUAUAUCAUUUAGUGUGGAGGUACUGAAAAUAUUUAUUUUGUUAUACAUAAUUUUAUAGCAAGUUUACUCUAGCACUAACAAUUUGUAGUAAAGCCAAGACAAUUCUUGGCAUUAGUAGAGGAAGGACAUGAAACUGAUAAUCCUAAACCUAAUUCAAAUUCGGCUUUGGAAUGCAGUGUGUUUGAUGGUUGGUCAAUUAGUACUUUAAUCUUGUUUUGUGUGGGUCAGUGUUGAACCUAUUUGGCAUCCUACACACUAACAGUUGUAGGAAAUCCAUGAGCAUGCUGGAUAUUGGACAGAUUCAAUCUGUGGUAGGUCUCUUACUGUAGAUAACUUCUUACAUUUAAUCCCAGAUAAUUUGGCUAUAACUUUUGUCUGUUUUCCAUUUGCAUUUCUGUUUUAUUUUAAAAUUAAAAAUGGAUCAACUAUAUUCUUAUUUAAAAAUCCAGAGCCAUUUACAAAAUGUUAGUAAGUAGAAACAGAACUCAUAAAAGCACAAUAUAAAAGCAUACCAAUAUAAAGUACUUUUUGGUAUGACAGAUAUGUUGGUUACUCAUGAAGUCUCUUUGGCAAGUUAAAAUUUGUGACUAUGGUAUAUAAAUGGCAAAACUCUUUCCUAGCCUUUGAAUCCACUAGUACUCAAUGGGUGUAGCCGAAGCAGGGAGCUUGUAAGUAUACCAUACAAGUUCUUCAGCAAGAUACAUCAUUUUCAUGCUAUAAUUGUGCCUACAUGGCCUCUUUUCAUGUAAGAAUUCUUUUCACUAAUAAGAGAAGAGGUUAUGCCUAAAAGAAAUGAUGGACCAAAAUCAAGAUCAUACAGUACUGAAAUAGUAUUUUUAAAACCUUAUGCCCUUAUGGUGCUGUGG